rnacentral:tRNA from 1 species
GCGCCCGUAGCUCAGCUGGAUAGAGCGGCGGUUUCCUAAACCGCAGGUCGGAGGUUCGAGUCCCCCCGGGCGCG